GAUGUGGAUUAAUUCGAUGCAACGCGCAGAACCUUACCUGGCCUUGACAUCCCGGGAAUUUCCUGGAAACAGGAGAGUGCUUUCAUUAGAGAGAACCUGGAGACAGGUGCUGCAUGGCUGUCGUCAGCUCGUGUCGUGAGAUGUUGGGUUAAGUCCCGCAACGAGCGCAACCCUUGUCAUUAGUUGCCAUCAUUUGGUUGGGCACUCUAAUGAGACUGCCGGUGACAAACCGGAGGAAGGUGGGGAUGACGUCAAGUCCUCAUGGCCCUUAUGGGUAGGGCUUCACACGUCAUACAAUGGUCGGUACAGAGGGUUGCCAACCCGCGAGGGGGAGCUAAUCCCACAAAGCCGAUCGUAGUCCGGAUCGCAGUCUGCAACUCGACUGCGUGAAGUCGGAAUCGCUAGUAAUCGUGGAUCAGCAUGUCACGGUGAAUACGUUCCCGGGUCUU
rnacentral:rRNA from 1 species